ACUGCCUGCCCAGUGACACCUGUUCAACGGCCGCGGUAUUAUGACCGUGCAAAGGUAGCGUAAUCACUUGUCUUUUAAAUAAAGACCGGUAUGAAUGGCAAAACGAAAACUCAACUGUCUCCUCAGAUAAGUCAGUGAAAUUGAUUUUCCCGUGAAGAAGCAGGGAUAAUAAUAUAAGACGAGAAGACCCUAUGGAGCUUUAAACCAAAGCUACCCAUACUCUUAAAACUUUAAAAAGUGGCGUUAGCUACAGGUUUUGGGUUGGGGCGACCGCGGAGUAAAAAUUAACCUCCGAGAAAGAAUUAAGAAGAACCCUUCAAAAAAUAAUAAUAUUAACACAUUUGACCCAACAAUUGAUCAACGAACCAAGUUACCCUAGGGAUAACAGCGCAAUCCUCUCAUAGAGUCCUUAUCGACGAGUGGGUUUACGACCUCGAUGUUGGAUCAGGACCCCCAAAUGGUGCAAAAGCUAUUAAAGG
rnacentral:rRNA from 1 species